UACAGGCAUGUGCUAUCACACCCAACCUGAUACAUUGCCUUUAUAAAUUUUUUUUUCUUUAUUCUAAAAAACAGAAAAAACAAAACUGGAUACAUGUGCAGAACAUGCAGACCAAGUGUGUUGGGGACUUGAGAUAUGUACAUGAGUGUUUGUGAUGUUUCCUGGUGAAAGCACAGGUGAGACGUGGUCUUGUAACACAGUGGUUAAGAAUGUGACUUUGGAGCCAGCCUGCUAGGGGCUGAAUUCUGACUCAGCCAUUUAUUAACUGUGUGACCUUAGUCCUAGUCUAGUAACUGGUAUUGUCAUAAGAAGAGAGGGACACAGAGGGAAGUUGGCCACAUGAAGAUGGAGGUAGAGAUUGCAGUUAUGCUGCUGCAAACUAAGGAAUGGCUCUGGCCCUCCAAAGAUUGCUGAUAACCACCAGAAACUAGAAGAGACAAGGAAGGAUUCUUCCCUAGAGCCUUCAGAGGGAGCAUGGCCCUACUGACACCUGGAUUUCAGACUUGUAGCUUCCUAAACUGCAAGAGAUUAAAUUUCUGUUGUUUUAA
rnacentral:antisense_RNA from 1 species